UUGUGAAGAUUGGCAGGCCAGGUUACAGAGUCACAAAGCAGCGUGAUCCAAACUCUGGUCACCUGAGCAUGCUUUUCAAAGUUGACUACCCAGAAAUCGCUGAAGGAGUUGCACCUAAGCAUCGAUUCAUGUCAGCCUAUGAGCAGCGUAUUGAAACUCCAGAUCGUCGUUGGCAGUAUCUUUUGUUUGCUGCAGAACCAUAUGAAACAAUCGCUUUCAAAAUUCCUUCUCGAGAGGUAGACAAGAGCGAAGGCAAAUUUUGGUGCCGCUCAAUCCUAUUCAC